rnacentral:rRNA from 1 species
GACGAACGCUGGCGGCGUGCUUAACACAUGCAAGUCGAACGGAAAGGCCCUGCUUUUGUGGGGUGCUCGAGUGGCGAACGGGUGAGUAACACGUGAGUAACCUGCCCUUGACUUUGGGAUAACUUCAGGAAACUGGGGCUAAUACCGGAUAGGAGCUCCUGCUGCAUGGUGGGGGUUGGAAAGUUUCGGCGGUUGGGGAUGGACUCGCGGCUUAUCAGCUUGUUGGUGGGGUAGUGGCUUACCAAGGCUUUGACGGGUAGCCGGCCUGAGAGGGUGACCGGCCACAGGGGGACUGAGAGCGGGCCCAGCCCCCGAGGGGGGGCAGAGGGGGGAAAUAUGGAACAAGGGGCGGAAGCCUGAUGCAGCACCGCCGCGGGGGGGAGGGCGGCUUUGGGGUUAAAAACCGCUUUCGCUGGUGACGAAGGGGGGGGGAGGGUAAGGGAAAAAAAAGCCCGGGCUAACUACGGC